CUAGAAAUCGUACCUUGAAAAUCCGAGUUGGCUUUUUCCGCUGAAGUGAUUUAGGCUCCUAGAUCACGAUCCGCCACCACCACUCCUGUUAGAUCACGAUCCGUCACCACCACGCUUGUUAGAUCAUGAACUGUCACCAAUGAUCUUCCAGGUUAUGACUCAGGUUCGAUCUGCACUUGACGUGUGGGCGCCUUUAUCACUACCAAAGCAACUAGCACGAGAAAAUUUUUCUCUCAACAAUGGAGAGAAAAAUCUUUUUCUCUGAUCUGUAUAAAGUGGCUUCCCAUAUUUUCUUUAGAGAAAAUAAGCCUUAUAUAUCUCCCUUUAGUGAAAACCCUAGGCUCCAAAUAAUGCCUAAAUAAAACUCACGUUAUUUUCUUUUUCAAUAGGGGACCCACCUUGUAAAAUAACAUAAGGCCCCUUAUACAAAAGCUAAUUAAAUAGAGCCUCCCACUAAAUGAUAUAUUUAGGCUUUUGACCCAAAUAGCUAGUUAUCUUACUUAUUAGUCCAGUAGUGGUGCAGUCAAUUAAAUGAGCUAACCCGGGGAUCAUUUGGGAACAUACAAUAGUGGCUACAAUAAUUAGGCCUGUAAUUAAACUAGCCCAAUUAUUUAAUUCCAAAUCUACUCCACUAAAAGAUUGGAACCGACUUCCAUAAUUGUAUGCUCGAAUAAUAAUUCGUCCCAAGCCACAUUGAUUUCUUUACUGCACAAUCCUUUGUACCACAUCAUUAAUUAAAUUGAUAUCUCAACUGUCCAAUCAAUUUAAUAACAUCUUAUUCCUUGAUCCUUACUGGUUUUCUCUAAUGAUCAUUUUCAACAUACUAAAUAUGUUGACACACUCUGGCCAGAGAAUUCUAUGAUCAAGUACCGAAAACCUAUCAAGAGAUGUGUUGUACAAAUUCUAUAUUGUUAAUCCAUAACUACAAUACUCAUAAUUGCUCCCACCAAGAUACCGGGUAAUCUUGACCACAAGGAUGUGUCGUGCCCAUUGGUAACUCAAAUGAAAUAACAAUCACAAUCAUGAAAUCAUAAUUAACUCAAGAUUAAGAUUACAGUAAAAUCAACGCCUAUGAGAUUUAAUAAGUCUGACAGUUAUUACAAAGUUAAUUAAAUCUCAUAUGUAAUCAUGUUCAAUGUAGUCGUACUACAUCAAUAAAUUCAUACAUGAUUAAGACAAAUCAUUCAAUGAAUUUAUUACAGUCUAUACCUAAAUAAAGUACCCAACUUUAUUUAUCAACUGCGAACUAAAUUUAUUUAAUCAUAAGAUAACUUGUAUUUAUGUCUUCUGUGAAUCCACAUGGUGAUCACAUAAAUACAUAUAAUAUGAUUAAAUGGACUUUAAUACAAAUAUUAAUGCAAUUAAGAUAUUUGAAUAAAAUACCUCAUUUAUUUUAUUAAUCAGAAAAAUUAUUUAUUACAAUUAAAUAAACACAUAUGCUUUUAAAGAGCAUAUUUUCCCAACAAUCUCCCACUAGCUCUCAAAGCAUAUCUGGCAUAUUGCACAUGCUCUAGGGCUCUAAGUGCAGGUUAUAAAGGUUUCCCACUAAUGGCCAUUGUAAUAAGAUCUGCCAUUUAGCAUCUAAUGCCAUUUGGGGUACUGUCAUAUAACCUUUCUACACUAUUCCCUUAUAAGAUGAUAUUUCCUUUCAAUAUGUUUUGUUUCUUGUGGUUCCUUGGUUCCUUAGAUUGAGCUACCGCACCACCAUUAUCACAAAAUAGUUUAAGGGGUGCAGUUACAACAGGUACCACCUCAAGAUUUCGUAGGAACUUGCAGAGCCAUAUAGCUUCUUUUGCAGCUUCAGAUGUAGCCACAUAUUCAGCUUUAGUUAUUGAGUCUGUGAUAUAAGAUUGUUUCACACUCAUCCAACCAAUAGCUCUACUUCCCAAUGUAAACACAUAGCCGGAAGUUGAUUUUCUAAAAUCCUUAUCUGAUAAAAAAUCAAAAUUAGUAUAACCCACUAGAAUAAGUUUAUCACCAGAAUACACAAGCAUAUAAUUUUAAGUUCUUUUCAUAUACUUCAUUAUAUGCUUGACCGCAGUCCAGUGUUCAGGUCCAGGAUUAGAUUGAUAUCUACUAACCAUCCCUAUCGCAAAACAGAUGUCUGGCCUAGUGCAAAGCAUAGCAUACAUAAGACUUCACACAGCUUCUGCAUAGGGAACUCGUCUCAUUCUCUCUAUCUCUUCAGAUGUUUUAGGUGAUUGAUCUUUAGAGAAUGUAAUUCCAUGUCUGAAUGGUAAUAAACCAGUCUUGGAAUUUUCCAUGCUAAAUCUAGCCAAUAUCUUAUCGAUAUAGACCGCUUGAGACAAGGCUAAAGUUUUAUUCUUCCGGUCUCGUAGUAAUUUGAUACCAAGAAUAUAACUUGCCUCUCCCAGGUCUUUCAUAUCAAAUUGUUUUGCUAACCAACUCUUUAUUGUAGUCAAUACUCCUAUAUCGUUUCCAAUUAGGAGAAUAUCGUCUACAUAAAGAAUUAGGAAGACUACAGAUUUUUCUUGAAUUUUCUUAUACACACAUGGUUCAUCAAUGUUCUGAAUGAAUCCAAACGAUUUUAUCGCUUGAUCAAAUCUGAUGUUCCAUGACCGAGAUGCUUGCUUCAAUCCAUAAAUGGAUCUCUGCAACUUACAUACCAUGUGUUCUUGGCCUUUUUUGUAUAAAUCCAUCUGGUUGCUGCAUGUAGAUGUUUUCUUCAAGAUACCCGUUGAGAAAGGCAGUCUUAACAUCCAUUUGCCAAAUUUCAUAAUCUAGCACUGCAGCAAUGGAGAGCAGAAUCCUGAUGGAUUUAAGCAUAGCAACCGGAGAAAAAGUUUCCUCAUAAUCGAUUCCCUCUUUCUGAGUAAACCCUUUGGCUACUAAUCUUGCUUUAAAUGUUUCCACCCUUCCGUCUACUCCUCUUUUUCUCUUGUAGAUCCACUUGCAUCCUAUAGGUUUUACCCCAUUUGGUGCCUCUACAAGUUUCCAGACUUUAUUGGAAUACAUAGAUUCCAUUUCUUGAUUCAUGACCUUUUUCCAAAAUUCAACAUCUCUUCCUAUUAGAGCUUCGUUGUAACUAGUGGGAUCUUGUACAUGUUCAUCUGAGAUAGUCGUAUAGGUUUCUCCCAAAAGCAUGUAUCUCGCAGGUAACCUAGUUACCCUCUCACUACGACGAGGUUCUAAAAGUGAUGGUUGUUCAGGGUUAAUUCUGUGUUGAUCAUCUGGUUGUUGCUGUUCUUCCUGUUCUUUAACAGGCAUUGAAAGCUGAGCAUCAACCUGAUCACCUGACAGUUCUUCAAGUAUUACCUUACUCUUAGGUUUGAAGUUAUUCAUCUAAUCUUCCUCAAGGGAAGUAAAAUGUGUGCUCACGAUCACUUUCCUAUCUUGAGGACUAUAAAAUAAACCUCCCCUUGUUCCUUUGGGAUACCCCACAAACAUACAAACCUCAGAACGUGAAUCCAUUUUGUCUGCCUUUGGUUUCAGCACAUGUGCUGGUGAUCCCCAAAUACGGACAUGUCGUAAACUUGGUUUGCGACCUGACCAUAAUUCUAUUGGGGUUUUAGGCACUGAUAUAGAUGGAACUAAGUUCAAAAGAUAAACUGCAGUUUCCAGUGCUAGUCCCCAAAAAGAGAUUGGUAAUGACGAAUAACUAAGCAUAGAUCUCACCAUAUCCAAAAGAGUUCUAUUUCUUCUUUCAGCUACUCCAUUUUAUUGUGGUGUUCCCGGGGCAGUCAAUUAAGAUAUAAUCCCAUUUUCAACCAGAUACUCUUUGAAAUCUCCUGAGAGAAAUUCACCACCUUGAUCAGAUCGAAGUUUCUUUAUGUUCUUAUCUAAUUGCUUUUCUGUCUCAGCCCUAUACUCUUUGAAUUUCUCAAGAGCUUCAGACUUAUGACGCAUCAGAUAAACAUAACCAUAUCUUGAGUAAUCAUCAGUAAAAAUGAUGAAAUACUCAUAACCUCCUCGAGCUUGCACAUUGAUUGGUCCACAUACAUCUGUAUGUACCAAUUCAAGUGGUACUGUUGCACGUACUCCUUUGGCCGAGAAUGGCCUUUUGGUCAUUUUCCCUUCUAAACAGGAUUCACAUAGUGGCAAUGAUUCAUUUUCUAAUGGACCCAAGAGCCCAUCUUUGAUCAUUCUCUGUAUCUUAUUUUGGUUUAUAUGACCCAAGCGUAAAUGCCAGAGGUAACAUUGGUUGGAAGAAAUAUUUCUUUUCUUAGAUAAAUGUGUAUGCUCAUCAUUAUUUAUCAAUGUGUCAUGCAUAGAAUGGAUCAUUGGACUUAAAUGAUAUAAAUUAUCUUCCAAUGUACCAAAACAAAUAAGUCUCUUAUUUUGAAAAAUAGAAACAGAGGAUCCAAAAUUUACAGUGUACCCUUGCUUUGACAAACAAGCUACUGAAAUUAAAUUCAUCUUAAUGUCUGGAACAUAAAGACAAUUUUUCAAAACUAAAGUCUCAUUAUUAAAAGAUAAUAAAACAGAUCCAGUCUUUAUUGCUGACACGAAUUGUCCUGUCCCUAACUGCAGCUUGACGCUUCCUUCACUUAUUUUCCUAGUUUCCUGAAACCAAAAAAGUGAAUUACAAAUAUGAUUAGUUGCUCCUGAAUCCAACACCCAAGUGUCAAUAGGAUUCUGAACUAAACAGGCCUCAAUUACAAAAAGAUUUCCCAUACCUGAUUUCACAAUCUUAGGGCAAUCCUUUUUCCAGUGACCUUUCUGUCCACACUUAAAGCAUUUGCCUUUCGGCUUGCCAUCUUGCUUGGUAGACGGUCUCUUUUUCCCAGCUUUCUUCUUACCUUUGCCUUUCGGCUUAGGCCCAGAAGAUGAACUUCUUUCAGUAAUAUUUAUGCUUCCCAGAGAUUUCUCAGCACGAUAGAUCUCUUCAGCAGAAUGGAGUUCGUUCAUCAAUUCAGUUAAGGUCAUGUUUCUUUUGUUCAUGUUAUAAUUGACCUUAAACUCCUUUAAUGUUUCUGGUAGAGAUUCUAGCACCAUGUCAAUCUUUGAGUUAUCAUCGAUUUGUGCUCCCUGAAUCUCAGCCUUAUUCAAAUAGUCCAUCAUUUUGAGGACAUGAUCACGAACUCUUGUGCCCUUCCCCAUUUUACUGUUCAUAAUUCCUUUCAGCGCUGCUUGUCUCGCUGAGCGAGUACUCUGCCCGAACAUCUGUUGGAGACUAUCCAUUAUUUCAGUGGCAGUUUCCAAGUUCUGAUGUUUGGUCUGCAGAAUAUUAGAAAUCGAGGCUAAAAUGUAGCACUUUGCCAUUUCAUUGGCCUUUUGCCAUUUCUUAUAAAGCCUCCUCUGAUUUCUAUGAGCAUCAUCCGCUGGAACUGGAGGGCAUGGCUGGGUUAAGACAUAUUUAUAAUUUUCAGCAGUCAGGACAAUGAAUAGAUUUCUUUUCCAAUCUAUAUAGUUCUCUCCAGUGAGUUUGUUUUGACUCAGAAUAAUAGUAAGUGGGCUCAGGGAAGACAUUUUCUGAAAAAUAAAACAUCCAUGCAUAAAUAAUUUGAAAUAAUAUUCACAAUAAAUGACAAAAAUGCAUAAAACCAUAAAUGCAUUUUAAUUUAUUGUAACGAUAAUCUAGUUCUGCUUUGACAAGCUAUCCGGUGGGGGAGUCAUGUCUAUACUUACUAGACCCAAUUACCCAUUGGAUUAUUUACUUUCAUGUAGAGACAUGAUAAAUAAUUAUCGUUAUCUUUUUGGGGCUAAAUUUGUUAACAGAGCUUCGUUGGGAAGGUUAUUAACAAAUUUUAGUUGAGUGUAUAACCAUUGUUUCAAUCUAUGUAUUUUUCAUAUCAAUAGUCACCGUUGGGGUGAACAAUCGAUUGAAAAAUAUUUCAAUUUUAUCUUUGAAGAAGUUCAUCAAAUAAAAUAUCUAAUAUAUAUACCCUCCGAAGGGAGCAUCACCGUAUCAUGAAGUCAAGGUAUAUAUAUAAUUUUAUUAUUGAACUAACAAUGGAGCCCGUGGGAAAAUUAUCUUGAAUUUUCCCUCUCCCACUCAAUAUUUUAAAAUUGGUUUUUCCUUUUUAAAACAUACAUAUUGUUAAUUGCAUGCUUCCUAUAAUAUUAUCUAGAUGAUAUCAAAUAUUAUUAAGCAUGUGCAAAUAUCAAACAAUAUAAUGAAAUUCAUUAUUAAUGAAUGACAUGUAUCAUUAUGCAUAGAGUUGCACUACCUAUUCUAUAUGACAUGUAAUCAUGGCAUGUGAUCAUCCAAAACAUAACAUAUAGAAAAACAAUUAAAUAAUCUUAAUUCAUGGCUUUCCUAAUAAUGAAAAAUACAUAAACCCUAAGCCUAAUCUUCAUUGGGCUUCUUGUCAAUGUCCAUCUUUCAUAAGCUUGUCUUUGUUAAUGGACUAGGGGAAUUUGGGCAUUUAAAUUUAUAAUUGGUCCAAUUUUAAUUUUGAAAGGAAAUAAAUAAAUAAUAAAAAAAAUUUUUUUUUAUUAAAAUAAAACUUUUGGACCAAAAAUAAAUUUAAUGUAUUCAAUUUUAUCUAUGCAUUUUAAUCCAUUAGUCCCAAUUGAAAUUGGGCCUAAAACUAGGAUUCUUUAAGUCCAAAACUGUUUUUAGACUUAAAUGCAAAAAAUUAAAACUUGACUGUCCAAAUGAAAAAUUAUGGAACCAUAGGGACCUCCAUGAUAAAAGCCAUGAAACCCUAAAUCCAUAUUUUUCUUUCCUUCUUCUUCCCCAGCUGCCAUCUCCACCAACGGCCAGCCGCUGUUCACUGUUGCCACCGAUCUCCGACGCCAAACCAACUGCUGCCACUUUGCCGGAAACGCACCAAAGCCGCGCGGGAAGCUAGCUGCACGUGCAGCGCGCGCUGCUGGCCAUUGCUGGCCGCGCCCGCUGCUUUGCAGUGUGCAGCGCAGCGCACACUGCUGGCCAUUGCUAGCCGUGUGCGCGCGCUAGCUGCUGGACUCGCACGCGCAAGCAGCUAGCUUCGUGUGCGCGUUCGCUACCGGCCUUGUUGCUGUCUGCAGUGCGUGCUACUGUUAUGCGAUUGCAGCGGGUGAAAUUUCCAGCGAUUUAAAAAUUUCCGAUGCCAAUUUUGGCUUGCAAAAAUUCUAUAACAGUAAAUAAAUCAAGAGGGAAUUAUGGUGAUAAAAAACCACCCCUCUUGUUACAGAUCUAAACGAAAAAUACAAUAGAAAAUCUAACCAUGAAUUAAGACAAACCAAAACAUGCUUUAUUCAUAUAUUAAACAAUUAAUAUAUAUCUGAAUAAAUUGUGCCACUCUAAUACAUAAAUUUCAAGAAUGAUUUCAUACGAAAUUCUUAUAUAUUAAUAUGAGAUGGCUCUGAUACCAAUUGUUGGGGAAAAAUCAGGUUUUUUUAAAUUUUUAUAAAACCUUUUAAGACCGCUCUCAUAUAAUAUAUAAGAAUUUGUAAUCUAGAAAUCGUACCUUGAAAAUCCGAGUUGGUUUUUUCCGCUGAAGUGAUUUAGGCUCCUAGAUCACGAUCCGCCACCACCACUCCUGUUAGAUCACGAUCCGUCACCACCACGCUUGUUAGAUCAUGAACUGUCACCAAUGAUCUUCCAGGUUAUGACUCAGGUUCGAUCUGCACUUGACGUGUGGGCGCCUUUAUCACUACCAAAGCAACUAGCACGAGAAAAAUUUUCUCUCAACAAUGGAGAGAAAAAUCUUUUUCUCUGAUCUGUAUAAAGUGGCUUCCCAUCUUUUCUUUAGAGAAAAUAAGCCUUAUAUAUCUCCCUUUAGUGAAAACCCUAGGCUCCAAAUAAUGCCCUAAAUAAAACUCACGUUAUUUUCUUUUUCAAUAGGGGACCCACCUUGUAAAAUAACAUAAGGCCCCUUAUACAAAAGCUAAUUAAAUAGAGCCUCCCACUAAAUGAUAUAUUUAGGCUUUUGACCCAAAUAGCUAGUUAUCUUACUUAUUAGUCCAGUAGUGGUGCAGUCAAUUAAAUGAGCUAACCCGGGGAUCAUUUGGGAACAUACAAUAGUGGCUACAAUAAUUAGGCCUGUAAUUAAACUAGCCCAAUUAUUUAAUUCCAAAUCUACUCCACUAAAAGAUUGGAACCGACUUCCAUAAUUGUAUGCUCGAAUAAUAAUUCGUCCCAAGCCACAUUGAUUUCUUUACUGCACAAUCCUUUGUACCAUAUCAUUAAUUAAAUUGAUAUCUCAACUGUCCAAUCAAUUUAAUAACAUCUUAUUCCUUGAUCCUUACUGGUUUUCUCUAAUGAUCAUUUUCAACAUACUAAAUAUGUUGACACACUCUGGCCAGAGAAUUCUAUGAUCAAGUACCGAAAACCUAUCAAGAGAUGUGUUGUACAAAUUCUAUAUUGUUAAUCCAUAACUCCAAUACUCAUAAUUGCUCCCACCAAGAUACCGGGUAAUCUUGACCACAAGGAUGUGUCGUGCCCAUUGGUAACUCAAAUGAAAUAACAAUCACAAUCAUGAAAUCAUAAUUAACUCAAGAUUAAGAUUACAGUAAAAUCAACGCCUAUGAGAUUUAAUAAGUCUGACAGUUAUUACAAAGUUAAUUAAAUCUCAUAUGUAAUCCUGUUCAAUGUAGUCGUACUACAUCAAUAAAUUCAUACAUGAUUAAGACAAAUCAUUCAAUGAAUUUAUUACAGUCUAUACCUAAAUAAAGUGCCCAACUUUAUUUAUCAACUGCGAACUAAAUUUAUUUAAUCAUAAGAUAACUUGUAUUUAUGUCUUCUAUGAAUCCACAUGGUGAUCACAUAAAUACAUAUAAUAUGAUUAAAUGGACUUUAAUACAAAUAUUAAUGCAAUUAAGAUAUUUGAAUAAAAUACCUCAUUUAUUUUAUUAAUCAGAAAAAUUGUUUAUUACAAUUAAAUAAACACAUAUGCUUUUAAAUAGCAUAUUUUCCCAACAAAAAGAACAUACAAAACUAUGGUCCAGAUGAAAAGAGAGUAGGGUUCGGUUCUAAGACUAUUUUUGUAGGUACAACCCCAAAUAUAUAUUUUUUUAAAUAUUGUUAUACAAGAUUGUUACUGAUAUUACAUCGGAUAUUACAAUUAAUAUUUACAAACAUGUUAUAUAACCGAAACCUUCUUUUUAGUAUGUGUUCCUCUGAAGCGCUGUCCAGAUUCUUUAAACCCUCUUUAAUAUUCGAGAGCUGUCCACUCCACUCACAUUUCGUGAGAAUGCGAUUGUAUGAGAUUGUCUUCACUCAAUUAUUUAAUAAUUAAAUGAGGACUGAAAUUAACUCACAUAAAUAUUUUUAUGGAGGCUCGAACCCUUACUCUCAACAUUAUAAGUGCAAUGAUUUUUCCACUAUGCCAAAGGCCCAUCGAUCCCAAACAUUUGUUUUUAAUGUAACUUUUUCAUACAUAAAUAUAUAUCGGAACUAACCUUCUGCAUCAUUUUUAUGAUGGUGCAAUGCAAAUAUAUAAAGUAAAAAUGGUCAAAUUUACUUCUAAAUGCAUCUUAUAUUAGGUUUUAAAAAACAAUGAAGCAAUGGUUUUUUUAAAUGUGAUUUUGGUAAUUAAUUUUAUACAUAAUACAAUUCUAUAUAUAUUCUUGCAUCUAUUAUAAAGAUAUACAAUUAUCUUUAUUUUGUCUGAAAAUAAAAUUAUUAAAUUUAGAGAUUAUUAUUAUUGCCAAUUAAAUUGAGAUAACAAAAUACAAAAAAAUUAUUUUAGUU
rnacentral:lncRNA from 1 species